rnacentral:tRNA from 1 species
CUUUUAAAGGAAAAAAGUUAUCCAUUGGUCUUAG